GCGGAGUAAGAGAAGGAAAGGAAAUGGUGGUUGGGGGAAAGCGAGGACUACUUUGCAGCACUACAAGCUUGUUAGGCCUUUCUCAUGCCGGCUUUGGAUCUUCUUUUUUUUAAGGGAAGGAAGGAAGGAAGGAGGGGGAAGUGCAUGGCAGAGGAGGAGGAGGAGGAGGGAUAAAAGAAACCACCCUUCACCCCCCCCCUUUUUUGGCGAUGGUGAGGUCCUGUUGGCCUCUAAAAUAGCGGAAGGAGAAGGCGGUGGAAUGAGCCAAAGGGGUGGGAGGCGGGGGAGGGGGGAGGGAGAGAGAAGCCUGGGCUGAGGGCGCUGGCGACAACCCCUGGGCGCCCCCUUGACUUGGAAGCGGAACUAUGGAUGGGCAGCCAGAGACGAAGCCGAACCGCCUCCCAAGACUCCCAGGCGGCGCUGAAGAAGAGAAGAAGAACACAUUGGCGGAGGAGCGGGCGUUUCUAUUUGGCUUGGAAAAGAGGGGGUUGUAGAGGAGGGGGAGUGGGUUUUAAAAAUAAUAAUAAUAAUAAUAAUAAUAAUAAUAAUAAUAAUAAUAAUAAUAAUAAUAAUAAACUCGAAUAAACACGAGGUAAUAAUUCUUCAACCCUUCCCCCCUUUCUAUUCUUUCUCCCCUCUGUUUUAACCUGGGGUUUUUUUGUCCAUCUUGGGAUUUGUUGUUGCUCUCCUCCCCCCCUCUUUCCCCAACAUCUGACCUCUGCAUGGCAUUAUUUCUGAACCCGGGGAUUUCUUUCGGGGUCGGGAGUGGAUCUAUCCUCAACGACCAAGAGGACACACUAAAGCUAGGCUUCUUAUCGUGGCGGGAAAUAGUUGGAAUGGAAGAGAGGAUCCUGUUCAGGGCUUACUUGGGAGGAAGGCGUGCUUUGAACGGGGAGGAAAGUACUUCCGCAAACUUAACAUGCAUGCGUUUGUAUAUGUGUGUAUAAAUAUGUGCGUCAUGUGUGUAUAAAUAUAUGGAGAGAUAAGUGGUAUUGCUGGCAGGAAAUGCAUGCUAUGGGCCAGAAAGAGAGACGCAAUCCUGUUGUCAUCAUCCACAUAAUAUUGAUGAUGGAUGUUUCUCUUUCACGGAUAGAUAGAUAGAUAGUUAGAUAAGAUAUGAAUAUGUGUAUAUACACACUCCUCGAGAAAGAAAAAAAAGCAUUCACCCAUAGAUAUAGAUGUACGUGUGUGUAUAUAUAUAUAUAUAUAUAUAUAUAUAUAUAUAUAUAUAUAUAUAUAUAGCGAGAGAGAGAGAAAGGUGAGACGAUUGGAGGUGCCUCUUUCAUAAAUAGAUAGAUAUGUGUAUAUUUGUGUGUAUGCAUGUGUGUGUGUAUACUUCUCUCAGAUAUGUGUACAUUUCGCUCAUACAUAUGUUUAUAUUUGUGUGUAUCUCUCAUAGAUGAGAUAUGUGUAUAUUUGUGUGUGUAGGUAUGUGUGUAUAUGUAUACACACACACACAUAUACAUAUAUACACACACACACUUCUCAUAGACAGGAUAUGUAUACAUAUCUUUCAUAGAUAAAACAAGUAUAUAUUUGUGUGUAUGCAUGUGUGUGUAUAUGUAUAUAUACCUCUCAUAGAUAUGUGUAUAUCUCUCAUAGAUGAGAUAUGUGUAUAUUUGUGUGUGUGUAUAUGUGUGCAUAUGUGUAUAUAUAUAUAUAUAUAUAUAUAUACACACACACACACACACACACUUCUCAUAGAUAGGAAAUGUAUGCAUAUCUUUCAUAGAGAAGACAUGUGUAUAUUUUUGUGUAUGCAUGUGUGUGUAUGUGUAUGUAUAUAUAUAUAUAUCAUAGAUAAGAUAUGUGUAUAUUUCUCUCAUAGAUAAGAUGUGUAUAUUUGUGUGUAUGCAUGUAUGCAUAUGUAUGUAUGUACAUACACAUACACACGCAUAUCUCAUAUUAUCUGACAAGAUGUUGACAAGCUGGAAAGCGUUCAGAGGAGGGCGACUAAAAUGAUUAAGGGUCUGGAGAACAAGCCCUAUGAGGAGCGGCUUAAAGAGCUGGGCAUGUUUAGCCUGCAGAAGAGAAGGCUGAGAGGAGACAUGAUAGCCAUGUACAAAUACGUGAGGGGAAGUCAUAGGGAGGAGGGAGCAAGCUUGUUUUCUGCUGCCCUGCAGACUAGGACACGGAACAAUGGCUUCAAACUACAGGAAAGGAGAUUCCACCUGAACAUCAGGAAGAACUUCCUCACUGUGAGAGCUGUUCGACAGUGGAACUCUCUCCCCGGGGCCGUGGUGGAGGCUCCUUCUUUGGAGGCUUUUAAGCAGAGGCUGGAUGGCCAUCUCUCGGGGUGCUUUGAAUGCGAUUUCCUGCUUCUUAGCAGGGGGUUGGACUGGAUGGCCCAUGUGGUCUCUUCCAACUCUACUAUUCUAUGAUUCUAUGAUUCUAUGAUUCUAUCUAUGAAAGAGGCACCUCUAAUCCCAUCAUCUUUCUCUCUCUAUCUCUCUUGAGAUAUAUAUAUAUAUAUACACACACACACACACAUAUAUAUACAUCUAUAUCUAUAUCUCUAUAUCCAUGGGUGAACGCUUGCUUGUCUUUCUCGCGGAGUGUGUAUGUGUUUGUAUGUAUAUGUGUGUAUGUAUAUGUAUAUCGGGAAGGUGAGUUUCCCUCUCUUUGUGGGCCAGAGCAUGCAUUUCCAGUCUUUUGAUAUAUAGUCAAUUAUAUAUCACACUUUACAAAAAAGAAAGAAGUCUAUUUUAGUUUCUAAAACAUGUUUUGCGGUGCAAAUUGCUUCAAGAGGAUUCUUGAUGGGGGUGGGUUGUGAUGGGGGGUGGUUGGGAAAGCGAAGCUGGCUAAAGUGGAUCAGCGAUCUGCUUUUGUCACCCAGGCGAUCCCCCCUAAUGUGGUUUAAGCUCCUCGGAAUGGAAAGAGGCGAGCUUACGGGGAGGAUUUCCUUGAGCAGGGAGUUCAGUGUUAAUCAUCCGGAUCAAAUCCUGCCCUUCCCACCUGCACGAGACAGGCAGAAAGGAGGGGAAAAAAGGGGGGGAGAGGGAGAGAAAUAAGCCUCUCUAAAACCAGAGCGCAAGAUGUCACCCGGGGUGGGCGUGUAGAGGCGAGGAGGAGAAGAGGAUCCGGAUCAAAGUUAAAGGAAAGCUGUCAGCGCUUAUCCAUCCCCAGCGCGGCAUCAUCACCAUCGCUGCUUUCUGAGGGGCAACGAAGGGAACAAAUCAAACCAAGUGGGGCCGUGAAGUGAUGGACGAUGGAGGAAAGGAGGAAGAGAAAUAUGGAAUGAAUGAUAAUAUUUUACCCAUAAAACGGAAACUAAAGUUUGGAGAGCUGGAGUGAUAUAAUAUUGGAUUAGAACUUUGGAACCCAAAGCUUGAAUCCCCACUUGACCAUGGACACCCUUUGGAAGACCUUGAACAAGUCUUAGUCUCUCAGCCUCAGAUGAUGGCAAAAUUUCCUCCCUGAUCAAAUCUUGUUAAGAAAAUUUCAUAAUAGGGUCACCAAGCUGGAGAUGACUAAAAAGCACAUAAUAACAAAUGCAAGGGUGGGUGCCUGCCUGAUCUCCCUAGGGAGAGAGUUCCAGAUCCGGGGGCCACUACUGAGAAGGCCUGCUCCCUCGUCCCUGCCAACCAAGCUUGUGAUGGAGGCGGGAGCAAGAGAAGGGCCUCCCCGGAUGAGCGAAGAAGUCAUGCAGGUUCAUAGGGAGAAAGACGGUCACGAAGUGACAGGCCACAUACUUAUGAAGAAGGAUUUGAGGGCAACUUCACCCUCAGUGCUGUAACAAUUUAUAUCAAGAGGUCUACCAGUACGAGUGCUACCAGUACGCUGAUGACACUCAGCUUAUGUUGAAGAUGGAAGGCCGACCGGACUCUGUACCCGAUAACUUCCAUCAAUGCCUCAAGGCUGUUACUGGAUGGUUGCGUGCCAGCAGGUUGAGGGUGAAUCCAGCAAAGACGGAGAUCCUAUGGCUGGGUCAACCGGGCAGUUGGGAUAUCCAGUUGCCUAGCCUGGAUGGCGAAGUGCUAUGCCCGUCACCAUUGGUAAAGAGUCUGGGAGUCCUUUUGGACCCUCUGCUGACGAUAGAAGCCCAGGUCUCCGCCAUUAGUAGAACCGCCUUCUUUCACCUGCGGCAGGCUAGAGGGCUGGCCCUCUAUCUGUCAAGGGAUGACCUAGCUACAGUGAUCCAGGCCAUGGUCAUCUCAAGACUGGACUACUGUAAUGCCCUCUACAUUGGCCUUCCUUUGUCGGUGAUCCGGAAGCUCAAGUUGGUACAAAAUGCAGCUGCUCGACUUCUUGCGGGAGCCCUGAUGAGAUGUCAUAUAACACCAAUCUUACUACAGCUGUACUGGUUACCAAUUGAGCACUGGAUCGCUUUCAAAGUGAUGGUGCUUACUUUUAAGGCCUUACAUGGUCUAGGGCCAAUGUACCUGAGGGACCGCCUCACCCCCUACCAACCCCAGAGAUCCCUCCGUUCUGAGGACCAAGAUCCAUUGGAAGUUCCCAGUUUUAAGACCUUGCGUCUAACAGCAACUAGACGUAGAGCUUUUACAUCAGUGGCGCCAUCACUCUGGAACACUCUGCCGCCUGAAGUUCGUGCCUUGCGGGACUUAUCAGUCUUCCACAGGGCAUGUAAGACAUAUCUGUUUCGGCAGGCUUUUGAUCUCCGUUAUUGCUGUUUUUAAAUUGCUUAGAUUUUAGCUUGUUUUUGUAAGCCACUCCGAGCCUUGGGGGAGUAUUUUUAAGAUUUUUUAAAAAAGAUAUUUUAAAGAUGUUUUUAAAUUGUUAGAUUUUAGCCUUUCUUGUAAGCUGCCCCUAGGGGAGUGGCGGCAUAUAAGUUUAAAUAAUAAAUAAAUAAAUAAAUAAAUACUGGUUAUAGUACAAAUUGGUAGAUAGUACAAAUAUAGUAGUGAUUGGUAGAUAGCCUUAUUGUCCCCAAGUCUGUAGAGUGCCUUUUAGUUGGAAGCUGUUAUCACAUCUUCUCGAAGUAAGUUCCAUUAUUUUAUCAUGAACAAAUACUGCUUCUGCCUAUCUUAACUCUUCCAUAAUUCAACUUCAUUGAAGGCUAUAGUAUUAUAACAGAGGGGAAAACUAACUACCUGCUUUCUCACACCACAUAUACUUUUACACAUCGGGUUGCUGUGAAUUUUCUGGGCUGCAUGGCUAUGUUCCAUACAUGCUUCUGGAACAUGGCCAUACAGCCCAGAAAACUCACAGCAACCCAGAGAUUACGGCCAUGAAAACCUUCGACAACACUUUUAUACAUCGAUGUCAAUGUGUCCCCUUACUUGCUCUUCUCUAAGCUAAAAAAUUCCAUUGUAAAUGUUGUUUUAGAGAUCAUUAAUUAUUAUCAUUAAUUUUGGUUUUCAAUUUUGUUUACUCUUCAGAAGAGUCUCUUCUGCAUUCUUGCUCUGUAGUAUCUUUUUUUGUUGUUGCAGUGACUCAAAUUAUACAGAGGAGUGUAUUGCAUCACAACAUUAGCUGUUAAUUUUUUAUACCCCCCCCCCCCCCAAAAAAAAAAAAAGAGAGAUGUGCACAAGAGUGAUGUUUUUAUAAAGCCAUCCAUGUUUAGCAACCCCAGUAUUCCUUUCCUGGACAGUCAACCUGCAUAGAUGCGUAUGAAAGAUGAAGCUGGGAUUUUUUUUUUUGCUCUAACAUGAACCCAUUAGCUAUGAUAAUGGACACCCUCCAGUUUGGAGAAAUCUUUUUGGAGUGCUUGGUUUUAACUGCUCUAAAUAAUAAUUUGACAUUUUCUACAAACCUAAGCACCUCAAUAUUCACUUGUAACCGGAUAAUUCAUCAACAAUUUGAAAACAGCACUGGCAUUAAUGCAGAUGAGCGGGAGAUUUUGCAUUCUUUUAUUAUGAGAAUUAGUUCUUUUCUUCCUUUCUUUCCUCCAUAAAUAGUAAAUUUAUUCACAGUCUUCAGUGUGAUUCAUCAAAAACUUGCUUAUCAAUUGCAACUACAGUAGACCUAUCGACUUUCUUACAUACUGACUUACCACUCAACAACAGAUUUAAAGAGUCUCUUCUAGCUGGAAAAAAACUAAUAGGAUUCUGGCCAAGGUCUAGCUCAAUGAUUCUCAACCUGUGGGUCCCCAGAAAUUUUGGCCUUCAACUCCCAGAAAUCCUAACAGCUGGUAAACUGGGAUUUCUGGGAGUUGAAGGCCAAAACACCUGGGGACCUACAGGCUGAGAACCACUGAUCUAGCUGAUCAAUCCUGUCCGCAUACUUGUUGGCACUCUCAAAUAACUCUAAAACCUUAGCAAGACAAGGACUUGCCUUUGUAGAAGUCAUAUGGUUCCUGCCUUUCUAUAUGCCUAAUACAUUUAACAUUGCUUUCUACUAAGUUACCUGAAAGAGAAGUUAUGCUAGCCUAGUCCAUCAUAUUCCAAAUUACUUUUUCAACAUCUGUGGGAAUCCUGUAUUACCUUUAACUUUAUUUUUGUAUGUAUUUUAUAGAAAUAUGUUUUAAUAUGUGUAUUUUAUAGAAUGUUUACAAUGGUUAUGUAUUUUUAGCUAUGUUGUAACCCGCCUCAAGCUACAAGGAGAGGUAGGUAAGAUUUUUUUUUAAAUUACUUAAUGUAUCUUUUAGUAUAUUUAGCUAAGAAGUAGAGAUGCUAAGAAAUCUUGCUAGUGAAUUGUGGAGAUGUGUAUCGGGACAAUAGCAUUACUGCCUAAUGCACAAUAUCUUCAUUUUACUCCCUACUGUUGCACACUUGUGUCCACAGCCCUAAGUGGGUGGAACUGCACUCUUGUAGGCAUGUGAGCCUGAACACAGAUCCUUCUCAAAGAUUUUGAUGUCUUCCUGAAAGCACUUUCUCUUUCCUUCAUUUAGGCUUUAAAAGGCCUUAAGUAUUUUAUAUUGUAUUGUUUUAAAUGUAUUUAUUGUAUUAUGCUAAACUGUUUAAUUGUUUUAAUUGCUUAUGUUUUAUCUUUUGUAUUGUAUAUUGGCAUUGAAUCUUGCCAGACUGUGAGCUGCCCUGAGUCCCUUCAGGUGAGAAGGGUGGCAUAGAAAUUAUGGAAAUAAAUAAUAAAUAAAUAAUUCACUGGUUUCUGAAA